rnacentral:rRNA from 1 species
UACGAAGGGUGCAAGCGUUACUCGGAAUUACUGGGCGUAAAGCGUGCGUAGGUGGUUGUUUAAGUCUGUCGUGAAAGCCCUGGGCUCAACCUGGGAAUUGCGAUGGAUACUGGGCGACUAGAGUGUGGUAGAGGACAGUGGAAUUUCCGGUGUAGCAGUGAAAUGCGUAGAGAUCGGAAGGAACAUCUGUGGCGAAGGCGACUGUCUGGGCCAACACUGACACUGAGGCACGAAAGCGUGGGGAGCAAACAGG